AUCUUCAGGGCGGGGUGCAAGUCCCCACCGGUGGUAAUAGCCCACGAGCAUAGCAAUAUGCCGAUUCGGUGUAAUUCCGAAGCCGACAGUACAGUCUGGAUGAAAGAAGAUG
rnacentral:ncRNA from 1 species